AGCGAAACAAAAGGAUUAAUCGAAUCUCAACAUGUUCAAUAAGAGAACAAGGAUAUUAAAAAAAUAUAGGAACUAAACUCUCUUGUCAGUUAAGAUCCAUUCCGGGAACUGCAACAGAUUGAAAAUACUAAUCCACAUCAUCAGAAUAUUGUAAGGAGAAUUUAUUGCCAACUCGGAAAAUGUAUCAGUAUUGGAACAAUCCCAAACAUACAGCAUUGCAUCAAGAAUCACCUAUUUUGCAGUCAUCCUCCUCUAACUAAAUGCAAGUAACUUUUACUUAUUGUGAUGGUACUACUAGUAGCUCCAGCCACAGUAGGUCUCACAUUUUAGUCAAGAGAUUGGAUUAAUAUAGUGUACUCAAAUUACUAAGAGAAUUUUGUGGAUAGAGGAACUGCAGGUGAAGAUUCAGGGUGUUCAUAUGUGUGUCGUCCAAAGCAUUUUUGAACACAGUACCAUAUAUAACUUAAUGAAACUUACAACCAUGGGGGAAUGAAUAGUCGACUAUCUGCAAGAAGGAUGAACUGUUGGUGGAAUUAGCACAUGCAGCUAGCAAUUUUAAACCUGUAUUUCCACAUAAGUUACUGAU